UACGAAGGUGGCAAGCGUUGUUCGGAUUUACUGGGCGUACAGGGAGCGUAGGCGGUUGGAUAAGCCCUCCGUGAAAUCUCCCAGGCUUAACCCCGGAAAGUGCAGAGGGGACUGUUCAGCUAGAGGAUGGGAGAGGAGCGCGGAAUUCCCGGUGUAGCGGUGAAAUGCGCAGAUAUCAGGAGGAACACCGAUUGCGAAGGCGCUCGCUGGAACGUAACUGACGCUGAGGCGCGAAGGCGUGGGGAGCGAACGGG
rnacentral:rRNA from 1 species